rnacentral:rRNA from 1 species
CAGCCGCCACGGUAAUACGAAGGGGGCUAGCGUUGCUCGGAAUUACUGGGCGUAAAGGGAGCGUAGGCGGAUGUUUAAGUCAGAGGUGAAAGCCCAGGGCUCAACCUUGGAACUGCCUUUGAUACUGGACAUCUUGAGUGUGGGAGAGGUAAGCGGAACUCCGAGUGUAGAGGUGAAAUUCGUAGAUAUUCGGAAGAACACCAGUGGCGAAGGCGGCUUACUGGCCCAUUACUGACGCUGAGGCUCGAAAGCGUGGGGAGCAAACAGGAUUAGAUACCCCGGUAGUCCCUGUCUCUUAUAC